rnacentral:piRNA from 1 species
UUGGUUCUAUUAUGAAGGGUGUC